rnacentral:sRNA from 1 species
UCUCGCUCAACAACUCCCAGUAGUGUGAAUGUUGUCAAGAAAAAAGUUGGCGAGAAUGAAAUGAAUC